GGCCGCCCCUCUCCGAGGGACUUCCGGCUACAACCGGAAGAGGUUGUUCCGCCGCGCUGUUCUCCGCUCCAGCCGGCUCUAAGGUUCCGCCUGAGGGCAGGAAGCGGAGAAACAGAGACCCGCCCCCUUUCAAAGAACCUGAGUCCGGGCAGGGAAAGUACCAGAUAAGCUUGAAACAUCUUUUUACACCAGAAUGUUUCCUGUGGAAACACAGGAGAUGUUUCCAGUCACACAAACCUGGAUCUGAGUUCAGGCUCUGAGAAAAAGAAAAGCAAUCUCUGAUAUCUAGGAGCUGGCCUGGCACUCACAGCACACUAAGGCACUUAUGGACCAUAAAAGCACUGUUGGUGAUGUUUGCAUUUAUCCUGCUAGGACCCAGCCUGGA